rnacentral:tRNA from 1 species
GCGGUGCUAGCUCAGUCGGGUAAGCGCCCGCUUCUCACGCCAGAGAUGCGGGUUCGAAUCCCGGUGCGGCGCU